rnacentral:rRNA from 1 species
UACGGGGGGGGCAAGCGUUGUUCGGAAUACUGGGCGUAAAGGGCGCGUAGGUGGCCAACUAAGUCAGACGUGAAAUCCCUCGGCUUAACCGGGGAACUGCGUCUGAUACUGGAUGGCUUGAGUUUGGGAGAGGGACGCGGAAUUCCAGGUGAGCGGUGAAAUGCGUAGAUAUCGUAAGGAAGACCAGUGGCGAAGGCGAAUCUCUGGACAGUUACGUGACACUGGAGGCAGCGAAGGCCAAGGGGAG